rnacentral:rRNA from 1 species
GAUGAACGCUUGCGGCGCGCCUAAAACAUGCAAGUCGAACGAACCCAAUCUUCGGAAAGGGUUAGUGGCAGACGGGUGAGUAACACGUGGGUGACCUGCCCUGAAGUGGGGGAUAACUACUCGAAAGGGUGGCUAAUACCGCAUACGCUUGCUGAUUCAGUUCAGUAAGUAAAACUACGGUGCUUCGGGAGGGGCCCGCGGCCGAUUAGCUAGUUGGUGAGGUAAUGGCCCACCAAGGCUCUGAUCGGUAGCUGGUCUGAGAGGAUGAUCAGCCACACUGGCACUGAGACACGGGCCAGACUCCUACGGGAGGCUG